rnacentral:rRNA from 1 species
CAAUAGCGUAUAUUAAAGUUGUUGCAGUUAAAAGCUCGUAGUUGGAUUUCUGGCGUGAGGUGCUUGACCCGCCGCGGUUACGCGUGUGAGUGUCGGUGUGCCUCGGCCAUCCUUCUAGAAAUUGGCUCUGCCCUUCAUUGGGUUGGGGUCAGGAUCUAGAUCUUUUACUUUGAAAAAUUAGAGUGUUUAAAGCAAGCGUUGCGUGAAUACAUUAGCAUGGAAUAAUAACUUAGGACUUUGGUUCUAUUUUGUUGGUUUCUAGGACUGAAGUAAUGAUUGAUAGGGAUAGUUGGGGGUGCUAGUAUUCAGCGGCCAGAGGUGAAAUUCUUGGAUUCGCUGAAGACUAACUUAUGCGAAAGCAUUCACCAAGGAUGUCUUCUUUAAUCAAGAACGAAAGUUGGGGGAUCGAAGACGAUCAGAUACCGU